rnacentral:rRNA from 1 species
GAUGAACGCUGGCGGCGUGCCUAAUACAUGCAAGUCGAGCGAACAGACGAGGAUCUUGCUCCUCUGACGUUAGCGGCGGACGGGUGAGUAACACGUGGAUAACCUACCUAUAAGACUUGGAUAACUUCGAGAAACCGUAGCUAAUACCGGAUAAUAUAUUGAACCGCAUGGGUCAAUAGAGAAAGACGGUUUUGCUGUCACUUAUAGAUGGAUCCGCGUCGCAGUAGCUAGUUGGUAAGGUAACGGCUUACCAAGGCAACGAUGCGUAGACGACCUGAGAGGGUGGUCGCCCACACUGGAACUGGGACACGGUCCAGACUCCUACGGGAGGCAGCAGUCGGGAAUCUUCCGCAAUGGGCGAAAGCUUGACGGAGCAACGCCGCGUGAGUGAUGACGGUCUUCGGAUCGUAAAACUCUGUUAUUAGGGAAGAACAAAUGUGUAAGUAACUAUGCACGUCUUGACGGUACCUAAUCAGAAAGCCACGGCUAACUACGUG